rnacentral:rRNA from 1 species
GACGAACGCUGGCGGCGUGCUUAACACAUGCAAGUCGAACGGAAAGGCCCUGCUUUUGUGGGGUGCUCGAGUGGCGAACGGGUGAGUAACACGUGAGUAACCUGCCCUUGACUUUGGUAUAACUUCAGGAAACUGGGGCUAAUACCGGAUAGGAGCUCCUGCUGCAUGGUGGGGGUUGGAAAGUUUCGGCGGUUGGGGAUGGACUCGCGGCUUAUCAGCUUGUUGGUGGGGUAGUGGCUUACCAAGGCUUUGACGGGUAGCCGGCCUGAGAGGUUGACCGGCCACAUUGGGACUGAGAUACGGCCCAGACUCCUACGGGAGGCAGCAGUGGGGAAUAUUGCACAAUGGGCGGAAGCCUGAUGCAGCAACGCCGCGUGCGGGAUGACGGCCUUCGGGUUGUAAACCGCUUUCGCCUGUGACGAAGCGUGAGUGACGGUAAUGGGUAAAGAAGCACCGGCUAACUACGUG